ACGAACGCUGGCGGCAUGCCUAACACAUGCAAGUCGAACGAUCCCUUCGGGGAUAGUGGCGCACGGGUGCGUAACGCGUGGGAACCUGCCCUUAGGUUCGGAAUAACUCAGAGAAAUUUGAGCUAAUACCGGAUAAUGUCUUCGGACCAAAGAUUUAUCGCCUUUGGAUGGGCCCGCGUUGGAUUAGCUAGUUGGUGGGGUAAAGGCCUACCAAGGCGACGAUCCAUAGCUGGUCUGAGAGGAUGAUCAGCCACACUGGGACUGAGACACGGCCCAGACUCCUACGGGAGGCAGCAGUGGGGAAUAUUGGACAAUGGGCGAAAGCCUGAUCCAGCAAUGCCGCGUGAGUGAUGAAGGCCUUAGGGUUGUAAAGCUCUUUUACCCGUGAUGAUAAUGACAGUACCGGGAGAAUAAGCCCCGGCUAACUCCGUG
rnacentral:rRNA from 1 species